UAACAGCGGAGCGACUCGGGAUAAAAUGCUAUGAGAUGCCUUUACCUAUUUGUGGUGGACCGAAUGCACCGAUGAUUACAUGCUAGGUCGAUCUUUGUCUGCAAAAGGGGAAAAUGAGGGGUGUGAGUCUCAUAGACUCAGUGAUCAUCGGCUUCGUGAGUAUGACGUAGAUGGGAAACAAGCAAUAAGGUAGAGAUUUUGAAUAAUAAAAAUUGCAAGAGUAGAUAAAAAUAUGUAGUUCAAACAGAGAUUUGUGCCUUAUAUAUAUAUAUAUAUAUAUAAAUAUCAAAAAUCUCUUGUAAGUCGUAAUCAACCAUAAUGUAUAUCAAAUCAAGUAAGUAAACUUCUGUGCAGCGAGAAAGUUAAUAACCAUUUUCAAACUAAAUCAGUGAAUAAUCAUUUUAAACCUCGUGUUAGUAAAUGAUCUCUGCAGUCGAAUUAUCUCAGGUAAUACUCAAAUCAAAUCAAUAAAGUUAGGCAAGCUCCCGCGAAACCAAAUAGUAACCAGGUUUAUACACAGUUCCCAAAUCUCCUCGCACGCAAGGAUAAAAUUCAUAUAACAAUAAAACCAAGGGAGUUACUAGAAACUGUAAAAUUUUGUUUUCACCAUGCAAGAAAUAAGAGUCUAAAAACCCAAAGAGAUUUUUGUCUCGAGUAGGAAAUCAAAUAAAAUUUGUGGUAUCGCUACCACGUAAUAACCUCCGGGAGCCUCGCUCCACCGGAUCCCACAUGCCAUGGUAGUCUCACGAUGUUGGCCGACAUCAAAGAAUCAAGCGGUCACAACCGUGUAAUCAUCUAGUGGCCUAGCCACGCAUACAUAUAUCACAGGCCAUGACCUCAACCAUGCCUAACCGCUCGUCGGUGACCCAAUGGUUUUCUAGCUAGAGCUCACUCGUGCACGAGGGUCACACUUAACCGAUGUGACAUCCGACCUACUCUUGAUGCUCUCGGUUUGUAAAACCAUUUUGCAAUCGUGUUAUGUCCUUAAAAGCUCAUCUCAAAAUUCUUUCCAAAGCAUUCAACACAAGGUAUGAUAAAAUCUAUCAUUUUCUCAAAGUAUAUUUAUGCAUGGAUUUCAAAACAAUAAUUUGCAUGGUGAAUAAGCAAUAUAACCGUGAAUGUACAUUGCACAAAUAUAAGGCACAAAUUUUGAUGUAAAACGGUGUGAAGGGCUUGUUUCUCAAUUUUCAAAACACUUUACAUAUAAUUUAUACAUAUAUAUAUUCAAAACAAUUUUUGAAAAUAAUUUGCAUUCACAAUUCUUUAAAAUGUCUACCAGCACAUGCUAUCCACAGUUUUCGCGUUUAAAAUAAAUCAUACUUAUAGGUAUAUAUUUAUGAAAAUUUUUAAAAUUGACACCCUCUACUCACCUCACAAUAGCGAGAUGUUACGUCGCUAUUAAUUCAAAGACGUAUUGAGCUACUUCUUCUUACCGGUCGUUCGUUAUUUUCUUUAGCCUUUCACUACAGUGCACCACCUAUUU
rnacentral:lncRNA from 1 species